CAGGAAAUCACGGAAUCAGCUUAUUCCAAACGGCAGGUGACGCGCAGUAUAAAAAGCCGCGAAAAGACGUGUUUGGUCUUUUCUGUCGCCGUCGUCUCUUGGGCUGAGAGCAGGAGGAUGACUGUGCCUAUGCGGUCCACCACACUGGAUAGAUGAAGAUGGAAAAUGGAAUGAGAGGCCAAGCUGGAUCUUCAGGACUGCAACUGGUGGAAGGAUCCUGUUAGUCAAACACUGGUAAUCGGCAGAGCUGGAAGUGUUAAUUAAGCAAUAAAAUUCUGUACAACUCAA